rnacentral:lncRNA from 13 species
UUCCGCUUAGGGCAAGUUAGCUACGUCUUUGUGGCGAAAACACACGUUUCUCUGAUUUACUGGUUGGCCCAUGCCCAAGGUAUUCUGCCCAUCUUCAAACUGCACUUAAAAUAAGUCAACCACACUUGCCAGAGUUACUAAAUACAGUAUAAGAGCUGUACAUACAUUGAUAUGUAUGAGUGAAAUUGUAUUUGCCUGAUGACAUUUGAUUAUUGGUAUUAGUUGUUUUUUGAGGUAAAUAAAAUGAUGUAAAGCAUAAUGCUGUUAUUUCAGUUUUCCUUUAAUGAUUUUAUGCUUGCAUUGCUUCUUUUCCUGCCGAAUUAGUCCCUUUCCUUGUGAUUGAGUGACACAAAUUGCUUUAACAUAUUCACAGAGAAACGCUUCAAUAACUGUUCAGCAGUGAGUGUCUGCACUUGAUCUAUAGUGAAGGAUCCAUUGCCGCAUGACAUUGCAUCUGUGUUCUCUUCUAUGUAGCCUUCCAUCACCACUCACAUCCUAUGUCAGUCUAAGUUACAGUUCUAUAACACACCUCAAGGUUACACUGCCCGAGCUGACAUCAAAUCUGCUUCCCCGAGGCGAGCGAGAUGACGCGCCUCACCUUUUUGCGACAAUGCGGCCACUCGCAUCAUAUCAGCCAGUCUCCUACUCACUCCUCUCUGUCGCUACGUCUUUCAGUUAUCCCACUCAAAAUAAUAUAGGGUAUUCGUGAACAGGAUGUGACCAUUGUUGGGAGUACUCAGAUUACUUUUUUUGUGAUAACGAGAAACUUAACGGGUACGUUUUUUAAUUUAGGUUAUCAGUUACUUAAUUACUUUUUCAAAUAAGCAAGUCGUUAUUUUUACAAAAUUAAUUUCUUUUUUUUGUUGGCGCAAAUAAAAAAUAAAAGUCCCUCACUGUACGUUCGCCGCAGUUUCUGUUUCUUCCUGUUUCUGCACGAACAAGUAUUAUUCUAUUUACAGUUUUUGACAAUUGCUUACACAUGAUUUAUGAAACUAGGGCUCCUUUUCUCUAGACUCUACACACAAAACCCCAAAAUACACGCACAACAUGCAAAACGUCACACAUCGCUUGCAAAACCAAACAGUUAAUUCAAAACUAUUUUAACUCUUUUCAAAAUGGUGUUUUUGCAUCAAAACUCUACACACAAACCAUCACAUGAUUAGCUCUUAUACACGUCAACUACACACGGAUGUGACAAAUGUAAAAGACUACUACUAUCUUGUGUCUUUUGCAUGUUCAGUGUGCAGUGGAGUCUACGGCAGUUUAUCAUAGCACUCACACGUACAUGUGUGUGCACAAAUAUAUACAGUAUGUAUGCAUAUUCAAUAUAUAUUUACACUAUAAACAGAAAUGCAAGGGGGUGAAAAUAAAAUGUAUUUCUUUCUCAAAACAUUGUAUUUUCAUCCAGAUUUCAGGAUGAACAGUAACAGACAGGACAAAUACAGUGGAAAAUAAACAAAUAAGCUUGUUACUGUAAAGAUAAAAACAAUUAGGGUGCAUGCAUCCUGUCUCCUAUUUGGGUCUGGCCACAGCCCCUCAACAUCACAAGCGAUGUUCUCUUUGGCUAAACGGGGGGGGGGGGGGGGGG